AUGGAUCAUUAUGUAUUGCUGCAUAAAUUCGAAGUCCUAACCUUGUUUUACUUUUCUAAAAGGGAUGGCUACAACGAUUUCAAUACAUUCUACAUUCAGGCUGCAUCUGGUACUAAAGGUGGCUCUAGUGGUUCCCCUGUUGUUGAUUGCCAAGGAAGAGCUGUUGCACUGAAUGCAGGAAGCAGCAGUUCCAGUGCUUCGGCCUUCUACCUUCCAUUAGACGGUGUAGUUAGAGCACUCAAUCUGAUACGUGGCUGUUGGGACACAUUUGGUAGCAAGCCAGAAUCUGUUUAUAUUCCUCGUGGUACACUUCAGGUGACUUUUCAACACAAAGGUUUCGAAGAAACUCGACGUCUUGGACGCAGGAAUGAAACCGAGCAGGCGGUACAACUUGUUUCUCCAGCAGGGGACACUGGAAUGCUGGUUGUUGAUUCUUUGGUAAUGUUUGCUUCUUAG
rnacentral:rRNA from 1 species